rnacentral:rRNA from 2 species
GCCCCCCUUGGCGGCGUCCUAAUCCAUGCAAGUCGAACAAUUUGUAUUAUUGGUGUUGAUCAUGAUUUACAUUUGAGUGAGUGGCGAACUGGUGAGUAACACGUGGGAAACCUGCCCAGAAGCGGGGGAUAACACCUGGAAACAGAUGCUAAUACCGCAUAACAACUUGGACCGCAUGGUCCGAGCUUUGAAAGAUGGCUUCGGCUAUCACUUUUGGUAUGGUCCCGCGGCGUAUUAGCUAGAUGGUGGGGUAACGGCUCACCAUGGCAAUGAUACGUAGCCGACCUGAGAGGGUAAUCGGCCACAUUGGGACUGAGACACGGUCCCAUAAUCUCUACGGGAGGCAGCAGUAGGGAAUCUUCCACAAUGGAUUGAAAGUCUGAUGGAGCAACGCCGCGUGAGUGAAGAAGGGUUUCGGCUCGUAAAU